rfam:Otolemur garnettii contig181048, whole genome shotgun sequence.
GCCAGAUGUGGUGGUGCACCUGUAGUCCCAGCUACUCAGGAGGCAGAGACAGGAGGAUCGCUAGAGUCCAGGAGUUCUGGGCUAUAGUGUGGUACACUGAUCGGGUGUCCGCACUAAGUUCGGCAUCAGUACGGUGACCUUCUGGGAGUGGGGGGCCACCAGGUUGCCUAAGGAGGGGUGAACCGUCCCAGGUUGGAAACUCCCGUUGCUGAUCAGUAGUGGGAUGGUGCCUGUAAAUAACCACUGCACUCCAGCCUGGGCAACAUAGCAAGACCCGGUCUCAA